AGCGAACGCUGGCGGCAGGCUUAACACAUGCAAGUCGAGCGCCGUAGCAAUACGGAGCGGCAGACGGGUGAGUAACGCGUGGGAACGUACCUUUUGGUUCGGAACAACACAGGGAAACUUGUGCUAAUACCGAAUAAGCCCUUACGGGGAAAGAUUUAUCGCCGAAAGAUCGGCCCGCGUCUGAUUAGCUUGUUGGUGAGGUAACGGCUCACCAAGGCGACGAUCAGUAGCUGGUCUGAGAGGAUGAUCAGCCACAUUGGGACUGAGACACGGCCCAAACUCCUACGGGAGGCAGCAGUGGGGAAUAUUGGACAAUGGGCGCAAGCCUGAUCCAGCCAUGCCGCGUGAGUGAUGAAGGCCCUAGGGUUGUAAAGCUCUUUUGUGCGGGAAGAUAAUGACGGUACCGCAAGAAUAAGCCCCGGCUAACUUCGUGCCAGCAGCCGCGGUAAU
rnacentral:rRNA from 1 species